rfam:Nematostella vectensis strain CH2 x CH6 NEMVEscaffold_161_Cont16352, whole genome shotgun sequence.
GCGCCAGUGGUGUAGGGGUUAUCAUGGCGGCUUCCCAAGCCGUUGACCCGGGUUCGAUUCCCGGCUGGCGCA